rnacentral:rRNA from 1 species
GAUGAACGCUGGCGGCGUGCCUAAUACAUGCAAGUCGAGCGAACAGACGAGGAGCUUACUCCUCUGACGUUAGCGGCGGACGGGUGAGUAACACGUGGAUAACCUACCUAUAAGACUGGGAUAACUUCGGGAAACCGGAGCUAAUACCGGAUAAUAUAUUGAACCGCAUGGUUCAAUAGUGAAAGACGGUUUUGCUGUCACUUAUAGAUGGAUCCGCGCCGCAUUAGCUAGUUGGUAAGGUAACGGCUUACCAAGGCAACGAUGCGUAGCCGACCUGAGAGGGUGAUCGGCCACACUGGAACUGAGACACGGUCCAGACUCCUACGGGAGGCAGCAGUAGGGAAUCUUCCGCAAUGGGCGAAAGCCUGACGGAGCAACGCCGCGUGAGUGAUGAAGGUCUUCGGAUCGUAAAACUCUGUUAUUAGGGAAGAACAAAUGUGUAAGUAACUAUGCACGUCUUGACGGUACCUAAUCAGAAAGCCACGGCUAACCACGUG